GCAAGAUAGCUGAUUAAUCUGUUUCGACAGCAACUUAAUUUUACUAGCUAAGAUAUAGGGCUGAGCAUCUAUUAGCAAGUACUUCUUGUGAGGCACUUGCCUGGGGUUACUUUCUUAUUUAAAUGAAGAACCUUUUAAAGCACAUCAGCUAAGUAAAUGUACCUGGGUGUGUUAUGGGUGGUAAUAUUAUGCAUGUCUCUGUUACUAAUCAGAGAACAGCAUAAAAGUGAGACUGAAAAUCAGUGUAUGAAAAACAUUUUUAAGAUGGGGUUCUUCUCUUCUUCUUUUGAAGAGAAACUAAUUAGAUGUGCUCCUUCCUCCUUUUAUUAUGUAUCUUCUUCUAGGAUGCUCCUAUUUUAGCUAUCCCCAUGUGCAUUAAAAAAUUGACUAUUUGUAAUGUACUGUGAUUGUAAAAGUGGCAAAAUCUGUGCUAUUCUAGCUGACCAGAGUGAUCAGAUAUUGCUGAGGAAUCCUAGCAUUUGAAAGAAAGACUCUUCUGUUCACAUAUUUAUCCCAAGCAGGAAAAUUGAAAGUAAAGGCUAAAAUAGUGCAAGAGGGGGCAAAUGUAACAGGAGUGAAGGGGGCAGCUGCCAAGGGACAGCUCAGUGUCACACUCACAGCUCUGUGCCACACUCACUGCACUCACAGCCCUGUGUGUCACACUCACUGCACCCACAGCUCUGUGUCACACUCACUGCACCCCCAGCCCUGUGUCACACUCACUGCACUCACAGCUCUGUGUCACACUCACUGCAUCCCCAGCUCUGUGUCACACUCACUGCACCCCCAGCUCUGUGUCACACUCACUGCACCCCUCAGCUGCCUCUUGCACUCAGCCAGGACCACCCAAGCUUCUCUCAGGAGCAAUCUGUGCAGGUACAGCUACAGCUGCCUAAAUAAGAAGAGUUGCUCCAUGUGCCAAGGAGAGAUUAAAUUAUUUUGUGCACAGGUGAUGUUCUAGUCUGCUGCUCUUGAAGGCAUUUUCAAUAUAUUUUCGAUGCUCAAAUGAAGGCAGGAAUGCAUUGAUCCCAUUCUGGGGAAAAAACAAACAAACAAAAAAACAAACAAAAAAAAAUGAAAAAGAAAAACCCAAUCAAAACCCAGAAAAGGGACCAUGUUUUUUGCUAGUCUACUGUAUUUAAUUCUCAGGUACCUGGGAUGACUGAGACAAGAAAAGAUGUGGUGGGUUAAGGAAUAAUCCUGAACAUCUGAGUAGAGAAAAAAUGUGUGAUGCCUCUCAAUUCCCUUUUUAUGAGGGGUUGAUCACCAGAAUAUUUAGAGAAAGGAACAGCUCAUUGAAGAAACUUGAAUUGUAUUUGGGUCUAGAUAAAAAUAAUAAAAAAAAAUUAUAUGGUGGAAAGAUGGAAUGGGUGAGGGGUAAUAUCUUCUGAUCAUAACUUACCCGCUAGAAUUAAAAAGAUAACAGUUUCAUUAAGAAAGAAGUCCUUGGAAGCUGACCUCUAAGCCUAUUUUUGAUAUUUCUUUUUUAUCUUUAUUUUCUAACAAAUAAGAGUUAAAGAGCCAUCUUAUUUCCUACUGAAAUAUUUUAUUUCUUUUAAUUUACUUUCUGUCUUAAAAUGACCAUUCCUCAUCCUGACCUUGUGGCACUUUAAAUAAAAUGGAACAAAAUGUGUAUAUUAUCUGAACAAAAGCCACAAGAAAGGACAGCCAUAAGGAUAAGCACAUUUGUGUAAAAUUGUUUGAGCUGUGAUUUUCUUUUGCACUGCAUAAACAAAUGCAAAUAUUGUGUUGAUUGAAAAAUGCUAAAGGGAGCCACAAAGACUGGAGAAUAACUGGAAAAAGAGAAAGGGCACAUGAGGACAAAACAAAAAAAAACCAGAAAGGUCGAUUCUGGCAGGCAUAUGUGACACCAAUGAUGCAAAAAUACAGAAUGGAGCAGUAUGUGCAGGAGAUGACAAAAAAGGUGAAAGUAAUAGAGAUUAAAAGGAACAGAGGAAAAAGUGGAAUGAAAGAGCAACAGAAAGAUGAAGAAAAAAUCAUUUUAAGAUUUGAAAUAAGAUGAAAUUGAGUUUUAAGUGGCUAAAUGGGGAAUAAAAGCAAUAAAGAAAUAUAAUCCAGAGUUGGGAUAAACUGCUGUCUUUAGCAGUUGAUUCUUUAUAAACUUGGAAUGUUGCAUGUGCAUUUUCUCAAAUACUGUGUUAAUCUGGUGGCACUAAUAUUAUUUAAUCUUGUAAAAAUUGCUAUUUCCAGGGAAUGCUUACUACAGAAGUAAUUUAUUGGACAACCCCAGCAAUUUUGAGUUUUAAUAAAUAAAAAGCUACAAGCAAUUAACGGAACUGCUCUGUUAAGUACUUGCUACUAAAAAUCCUUCUUAAAAAUACUGUUUCUAGGAUUAUGCCCCCUGUAGUUUUUUAAAUAUCCCAGAAGUGGUAGAGUUCCCAACACUCCCCUCAAGCAAUUAUUUCACAGUUUAAGAAAGCUGUGAAGAUAACUUCUGAGCUCAGCUUUGGUCUUUGUCUUUUACUCAGUUAAUUGCACAGACAUGGGCUAAUGAGAAACAACUCGUUCAGUAUUAGCUUUUGUCCCUUAGAAAACUGUUUCCAAGUCCCUUCACAAGCUGUUGUUUAGCUGAAUUGAAGAUGCAUUUCAAGCUACUUUCUUAGCUCUUUCUUUCAUUUCCCAGGUCAUCCCGUAGCUCUCCUGUGGUUCUUUUCUGGGGACUCUGCAGUUUUUCCUUCUUUCCCCUUCACUCUGCAAAAUUGAGUCUAGAUUUUAUGUGGGUGCCAUGGGGUGUUACAAUUACUGUUGUAUCUUUAUCUGCAUUGUUUCUGACAUUUAACAUGAGGGUCAGAGUUAAGUACCAGUAAUCACAGUUUGAUCAGAUCUGGAGGGUUUGGGGGGAUGGAGUUCAUUUGUGAGGUGUUGAAUAGUUUUGGUUUUUUACUUUUUUCUGUUUUUUUUUUUUUUUCCUCUGGCACAAUGGAAGCAUUUCCCCCACCUCCACCCUGAAGAAAGCCCAAACAAAGUUCUUUGUGGCAGCACUGCUGAAACUGAAGACACGGCCCCAGAUUUGUUCCCAUAGAUGUCCAGUGCUUGCAGCCAGGGGAAAGCUGUAGGGCUCUCACAGCAAACCCUGUGCUGCUCCAGUGCUUCCAGCAUGCAUAUGAACAAACCUGCCAAUGGAUUCCUUAUACAUCCAUGUGUGGAAUAUGCUUGGAAGUGGUCUCAGCCAGCUUGAUCUGUCAAUCGAGAGCUUGAGUAUGUAAAUGAGCAUUUUAACUUUUGGUUUGUAUAGACUGCAAUUGAUAGAGUUAAAGGUCUGAGAUCCCCUCCAUGCCCUGGGCUGGAUGUAGUUUGCUAUGCAGAACUGUUACCAUUUAAUUACAGGCACGUUCAGCAUGUGUAUCUAAGAUGCUGCUUUCAUGGAAAAGUAGUUGGCAGGUAAUUGAAGAUACCACAGAUAAACAGAGAUUGUUGGAUGGCAAACCUCAUUUGUGGACAGCUAUUAAAUAUUCUAGUAAGACAAUGGUGCAGUAGUAGUAAGCCUGAGUUACUGCAGACCUGAAAUUAAUUCACCAGGGUUUAAUGUUCACCAGGGUUUUUGAAUUUUGUCGAGUCCUGCCUUGGGUAGAGCAUGGUUUUCCAUGGGGGUUUUGAAUUUGGUUUGUAUGACCAUGCAAGUCUCUAAUUCCAAUUCAAUAUUUCAUCUGCAGAAACACUUCUUGUUCUUUCAGUGCAAGUUCUGCUCCAAUCUUGCUGUGUUCUAAACAAAGAAUUAAUUACCCCAUCCAUUGAAUAAGGGCCACUAGUAGGGGAUUUUUACCUGAGUAAGCUGAUUUUGGUUGUACUAAACCCAGACCUGAGAUCUGUCCACACCCUCAGCAGUGCCUAUGUUUAAGAAGGCCUUUAGGACAGGAUUGUCCAAUUGUGAGACUUCUCUAGAACUUCAGUGAUCACUUCAGUGAUCUCCACCACAUCAUAAUCACAGACGUGAGACUUCUCUAGAACACUUCAGUGAUCUCCACCACAUCAUAAUCACAGAUUCCAUAAAGUUUAGGAGAGGCCUUGCUAUUCAAUAGUUGUCAAUGGAUUUUUUUUCCAUUAAAGUUGUCCAACCGUUUUGUGAACUGAGGUAAACAUUGUCAAUCCUCUGGGAAGUAAUAUCAUAAGGUCUUUAUAGAGAGAUAUAUAGAGAAGUAUCUUUUGUUCCAAUCUGCUAUAUGAUGCUGUUUUUAAAUGCUCCCUAAUCCUUUUUUAAGAAGGCAGUGAACAAAUAUUACCUAUUCCUCCAUCCUUCCAGAUCUCUUAGAUUUCUUUCCUGUCCCACUCCAGUUGUAUCUUUUCCAGGUUCAAAAGUCCCAUUGUAUACAGUCUCUGUCCUCUGCUGUAAUAUUUCCUAUUUUGCUUUAUUGCAGUUUGAGUUGCUGUGCCUAAUGGACUUUGCAUUCAUUCCAUCAGUACUUCAUAACAGUCGAUAUGGUCAAUGAGUUUCUUUCUCUGAAGCCCUAACCUUGAGAUCUCAUUCCUUUGUGGUGAUAACUAUUUCAGACCCAACCACAGCAUAUAGUUUCUUUCCUUACGUAUCUCACUUGGUUUUAAUUUAUAUUUCAUUUUGUCUUUCUUUCCACUCAGUGCUUUGAAGCUCUUCUGCAGCAUAUCGAGUUGCCCUUUGUCUUUGCUCCAUGGAAUAGUUUAUGUUAUCCCUCACAUUUGCUGCUGCACUGUUCAUUCCCUUAUUCAGACAGAACUUGCCCUUUUUCCAUUUUCUUUUCCUUUCUUUUUUGCUGCUCUGGCUUUAAAUAUGCAAGAGAAAAUAAAAUUGAGGUCUCUCUCAGUCUUGAAGAGGUUUCCUAAAGCUUCAUGCAAAUUUGACUCAAGCCUGUGGGUAAACCUUAACAGCUCUAAAAAUAGCAGCUUUAACUUCUCCUAUCAGUGACAGGCUAUUCCACCUGCCCAACUAAGAUAAACUCUCUGCCUGGAGGAGGCACAGCCCAGACAAGAGCAGGUACUGCAGGGGCAUUUAGCAGAAGAGGUGUUCACAUCAGAAAGCACAGAAGAGGCAGAUGCCACAAACUUCCAGGCAGAGGUGGAGAGGGCUGGGGAAACACAGCCAGGAAAACACAGAGCAGUCAGACCUGGCUUUUCCUCCAGCUCCUGCUGAGCCACAGUGGUCUCAGUUUUACUAUGUGUCUUUGCAAGGUUUUGAGGAUCUCAGAGGCCCUGGCUUCUUGCUAAAC
rnacentral:lncRNA from 1 species